CCAACCUCUCGCUUCUCGAUAUUUCCAAAUCCCUGUCAUCUCUCCCCCUCUCAUUUCUUCCUUCACCUCUCAUCUCUCUCUGCCUUAUCCUCUCUCGCUGAAGAAGCUGGGCGUGCGGGCAGCUAGCCGCUGGCCGCUGCCGCGGAGCGCGAGGAGCUGCCGGGCGUGCGGGCAGCUAGCCGCUGGCCGCCGCCAGGCGCUGCCGUGGUGCGCCGGCGUCGUGCUGGGCCCCGCGCGGAAGCUCGUCACCGACGAGACCCCCGCCGUGUACAGGAGCUACACGUACGACGAGUACUACAAGAAGUUCUGGAGCAGGAACCUGGACCAGGAGCACUGCUUGGAGCUCUUCAGGACCUAGCCGCCGGCGGCCCGAAGCCCUUCUUCUUCAGAAAAGUUUGGUUGUUCGUCUUCAACGUUCUGCAAAUAAGCUCUACCCGGCGGCGAGCGGGUCCACCCGGUGGCGAGCAACGACGAGCGGCUCCGCGUGGCUGGCGAGGAGCUCCGCGGCGGGUGAGCAGCUCCGCGCGGCCGGCGAGGAGCUCCGUGGCGGCCGACGAGCGGCUCCCGGCAGGCAAGGGUCUCCGCGGCGACGAGCAGCUCCAACAGCGUCGAGCAGCUCCGCGUCGAGCCGUGAAGUGUGGGCGGCCGCCGAGGAGUCCCACUGGGCGAGCGAGAAGCGACAAGCUGUCGCCGUGGGUGAUUUUUUUCUUUUUUUUCUUACUUUUCUGAAAUAGAGAUGCAUGUGAAAUUGUAUGGAUUCUAUCUUAUCUUGUAAUCGAUUCUUUGAAUGAUUUGCGAAAUCUAUGGAUUAUAUUUAUAUUUUGUGGUA